GUUUUAGUAACAGUAGGAAUCCCAGAUGGCGUUUUUAUAAACAAUUCUUGAAGCUCUCUACAAUUCUCCGGACGCAUGUUCCAGGAUGAUAAUAUACCAUCAGGUAGUUGUUUUCCCGAUGGAAAACUGUUGAAGAAUACGAUUGGAAUGUCAAGAUCACACAUCCGAGUCUCCAAAAUCUCAAUUCAAUCGACCAAAAUGUAUUGAGGAGACGGAAGAAUGUGAACCAAUCUUCUCUUUCUUCCCCAAAGAAUCGGUUUGAAAACCGAUUAUGACAUGUAAAUUUAAGCAAUAAACCAAUAAAUUUUCU